rnacentral:lncRNA from 1 species
AUGUGGAAACCCAAGCUGCACCCAGCCUGCAAUUGCACACGGGCAUUGUUGAAUUACAUCAACCCCCGUGGCUUGUGUUCGCCUACCUGCAUCUCGCCCUCGUUUGCUUAUGACUCCAAAGGACUCGAGGGUAGCGAUGACAACUGGACGCUGAAUAUUGCACACAAGGCGAUCGAUACACCAUCGAGAGGCCAUGGUAGAGUGCUGUACGGGUCAGUAUUGCCCAAAACCGAAAGCUUCUGUCAGGUUACAACGGAGGUUUUCACUCGAUCGCCCGGACCGACAGCAGACAUGCCGUCCGCCCCUUUGGACGUGAGGCGAUGCAAUGUGGUACUUGUGGAGUUUGACGUCUGGCUAGAACCCCCCCCAGAGGGUCAUGUGAAGGACAGGUACUUGCCAUUAGCCGUGCGUGCCUUAACAAGCAAAAGGACAAAGUCAGAGUUGUUUGUGCCGCUUUCCGUCGAAGACACCCUGCAAACCCUCGCCCGCCAAGGAUGGGGGGACAAAAUAGGUGUGAAACUGGGCUCCUUGCACUCCAGCCGAGCCUCUGCCUACCAGGAAGAGCUUGCUGCCAUACUCGACUGGAUAUCAACCUUGCAAUUGCAGCACAAUCGCACACCGCAAGUGGUAGUGGUGGAUUUGAACGUGUGGACACCAAAGUCCUCUGACUUUGCCAAGAUUGCCAACUUGUACGGGUCAAAGUUAGAGUUGAUCCCCCUCCUGUCAGCCGGCACGCUUGCAGAUGUGAUACGGAGCAGAGAUUACAACACGGCCUACAAUUGCUUCAAAUGCAACGACGAGGAACUGUGUCCCAGACUGAUGACCGUGUACGACAGCCAAAGAAAUGUCGUGUACAGUCGACCUGUGCACAAAUUCAUCCCAGAGUGUCGCGAGCCUCAUCCUGAGAAGUGCAUCGUUUGCUCAGACGAAGACGCGAUUCUCGUCGUUUGUCCGGACAGCGUUCUUCCACUAUACGCAGAGCACAGCUUAGGAGGACAGCUGACCUUACGACGUCACACUCGCCCACAAUCGCGAUGCCUUUUGGCUCCCGCGCAGCAGAGAGCAGAGACAGUUUUGCAGGAGUUGGGUCUGCUGGUUUCGUUACACGGAGCCUUUUUGAAUCUCAACACCGUAUCGGUGUUUCCUGAGGUCACAGUAGGCUGUGACAAAGUAAGACCCGGUCGCUGGACUGUAGGUGAAUGCACCGUUGAUGACCCUUACUCAAUCAAGAUACCCCCGGAAGAACAGUAUCCAGAGAGGACGGGACUGUUUGUCUUUGAGGAGUUGUGCAAGAGAUCAAACAACCGCGCCGGAAUAGUGGUCUCGGUGCCUUCUGCCGACUACGUGACAGACACCAAUUGCACAAAGGUGCAGUUCCUCAACAGACACGUCAAAACGGACCUGUGGGGUUACCACAGGGUCCAUUACUCCAUGCGGGACCUCGCUGACAUAAUCUCAGACAUGGCCAAGUGGGGCGUGCGUAGGUACUCACUGGGAUACCUAGACUACACCUAUGGUCAUUCAAAAGCACCCGCUACCUUUACGGAGCUCUCGAAUUUAAUUAAUUCCUCUGCCGCAGAGAGACGUACCCUGCACUACCGGUACACGAGGGAAUCAAACUUUGACGGAACCCGGUCCUACACUCAUGUGGAUGGAGUGUACAAACUUGAAGGAGGUAUGUUUUUUCAGCAAGUGGCCAACGGAACGCCGAUGAUCAGAGGCUUUGUUCUAGUUCCCGACAUGCCAAACCUGAGAUUGGGAUUGUCGUCUGCCAUGAACGUGGGCGCACCGCUGGCCGUCAGCAAAUAUAUCACCUGGGAGUAUGCAGAAGCAGUAAACUUCAUCCCAGACGGCGCGCAUGUGCUCAAGCUAAAUUACAAGGAUUUGGUGGCCUUUGUUGACCGAGACAGGGACAGGAUCUGCGUACAUUCGCCCACGUCUGCCAUCACGCAGACCAUUGGCGUCAGGUUACCUUCUUUUGGCGUACGAAGCGGCGAUAAUGAUGAAGAAGAUGAGAAGAACGAGGGCCGUUGCAGUCGCUACAGCUACAUUGGCGGGGCUGUGCAUCGCGCCAGAGUCACUGUGCCCAUCCUCGAAUCACUAAUGCCUGUCAUCCGGGGCGCUGGUCUGAUGCUUGAUGAGACAAAUGAGCUCACAAGAGAGGAACAAGACUGGCUCUCUGGUAUCACAGCACAAAAAACCCACACCUCUGGGCCUCUCCCAGGUCGCCUGGGAUUGACCUCGAUCCUGGACAGUAUGCACCUGAUGUCAAUGACCCUCCAGUGCAUCAAGGGCACGUCUUCCUGCAUGGAGUUGGGAGACUAUGCGGAAAACUCUUGGCCGCAAGGAGGCACAGGGUAUCCGAUCGCUAUCUCCAGCGUUGCAAAAACACCCUAUAAAGUUUUGAUCAAAAUGAUAAUCCUAGUCAACAGCGGAGCUGUACUCAGUAAGAUACCCUGCGACCUGCAGCCAUUCUCGUUCGGUUCAAAGCCAACGCUGUCUCUGCAGCCCGGGCCGGGCUACUACACGCGCUCUGAGGAGGCUACAAUUGCUGCUGUGAAAAACUAUGUAACGGGCGUGGGAUCAACCGCCGUGUCUGUCAUGCAAGCCGUCGCAUCCCUAUAUUGCUCUGGUGCGGAGCUCCAUCACGCGGGCCACCCAUCUGCCUCAAAGAAACGCUUCCAAAACACUCUCGGCUGCGUGAGCUCAACAAACUGUUCCACAGAGGUUUUCAGGGUCAGGGUCUCUCGACUGGGUGUGGCGAUUGAAAGGAACGCAAAGAGGGCGGAACAGGAGGUGAAAAGUAUAACGCACGCAUCGUCUCACGCUUCUGCGCUGUGUCUCAGUGCUGCUGUACUCAGUGUGUUAGUUGACAUUGCCCUGCUAGUAACGAUUUGCAUCACGUGCAAAAGGAAUCGUUACAGCAAACAACGCUACAGGAAAAUCCAGUGA